CUGCUUCAGGCAGCCAUGUGUCUAAUCUGCUUCUAUAGACUUCCAGAUAGGGAGAGACUUCAGCCUUUCUGGGUGAUUUUUUACCGCAUGUAAAUUUUCCAUGGAAAUAAAUCGGAGGCAUUACUUUUGGAGCAACUAUGCGGCCCAAGAUAAUUUGUCUUGACUCAGUGUGAUCCAGGCAAGCCAAAAGGUUGCACACCCAUGAAAUAAGCCAAGAAAGUACAUGGACUGCAAGAAAAUUCUUUUUGGUCUACUGACAUCCCUGUUUAAUUAAUAAGUGCUGUCACACAUUCAGCAAGCACGC
rnacentral:lncRNA from 1 species